rnacentral:rRNA from 1 species
AGCUCCAAUAGCGUAUAUUAAAGUUGUUGCAGUUAAAAAGCUCGUAGUUGGAUUUCUGGUACGGUGCGCUUGGCCCGUAUGGCUCUGUCAUACGCGUGUCGAUGUGUGCCUGCCAUCCUUCCAGUAAACCAUCUACUCUUAACGGGGCGGGUGGCGAUCUGGAUCUUUUACUUUGAAAAAAUUAGAGUGUUUAAAGCAAGCUUGUGCGUUGAAUACAUUAGCAUGGAAUAAUAAUUUAGGACUUUAUUCCUAUUUUAUUGGUUUCUAGGAGUGAAGUAAUGAUUGAUAGGGAUAGUUGGGGGUGCUAGUAUUCAGCGGCCAGAGGUGAAAUUCUUGGAUUCGCUGAAGACUAACUAAUGCGAAAGCAUUCACCAAGGAUGUCUUCU